rnacentral:rRNA from 1 species
ACGAGUUAUCUGAACCUUCGGGGGACGAUAACGGCGUCGAGCGGCGGACGGGUGAGUAAUGCCUAGGAAAUUGCCCUGAUGUGGGGGAUAACCAUUGGAAACGAUGGCUAAUACCGCAUGAUGCCUACGGGCCAAAGAGGGGGACCUUCGGGCCUCUCGCGUCAGGAUAUGCCUAGGUGGGAUUAGCUAGUUGGUGAGGUAAGGGCUCACCAAGGCGACGAUCCCUAGCUGGUCUGAGAGGAUGAUCAGCCACACUGGAACUGAGACACGGUCCAGACUCCUACGGGAGGCAGCAGUGGGGAAUAUUGCACAAUGGGCGCAAGCCUGAUGCAGCCAUGCCGCGUGUGUGAAGAAGGCCUUCGGGUUGUAAAGCACUUUCAGUCGUGAGGAAGGUAGUGUAGUUAAUAGCUGCAUUAUUUGACGUUAGCGACAGAAGAAGCACCGGCUAACUCCGUGCCAGCAGCCGCGGUAAUACGGAGGGUGCGAGCGUUAAUCGGAAUUACUGGGCGUAAAGCGCAUGCAGGUGGUUUGUUAAGUCAGAUGUGAAAGCCCGGGGCUCAACCUCGGAAUUGCAUUUGAAACUGGCAGACUAGAGUACUGUAGAGGGGGGUAGAAUUUCAGGUGUAGCGGUGAAAUGCGUAGAGAUCUGAAGGAAUACCGGUGGCGAAGGCGGCCCCCUGGACAGAUACUGACACUCAGAUGCGAAAGCGUGGGGAGCAAACAGGAUUAGAUACCCUGGUAGUCCACGCCGUAAACGAUGUCUACUUGGAGGUUGUGGCCUUGAGCCGUGGCUUUCGGAGCUAACGCGUUAAGUAGACCGCCUGGGGAGUACGGUCGCAAGAUUAAAACUCAAAUGAAUUGACGGGGGCCCGCACAAGCGGUGGAGCAUGUGGUUUAAUUCGAUGCAACGCGAAGAACCUUACCUACUCUUGACAUCCAGAGAACUUUCCAGAGAUGGAUUGGUGCCUUCGGGAACUCU